rfam:Picea glauca, whole genome shotgun sequence.
AGCGAGAAUGUCAGCUUGAGUAACGCAAACAUUGGUGAGAAUCCAAUGCCCCGAAAACCUAAGGGUUCCUCCGCAAGGUUCAUCCACGGAGGGUGAGUCAGGGCCUAAGAAUAGGCUGAAAGGCGUAGUCGAUGGACAACAGGUUAAUAUUCCUGUACUACCCCUUGUUGGUCCCAAGGGACGAAGGAGGCUAGGUUAGCCGAAAGAUGGUUAUCAGUUCAAGGACGCAAGGUGACCCUACUUUGUUCAGGGUAUGAAGGGGUAGAGAAAAUGCCUCAAGCCAGUGUCCGAGUACCAAGCGCUACAGCGCUGAAGUAACCCAUGCCAUACUCCCAGGAAAAUCUCAAACGACCUUUAAUAAAUGGGUUCCUGUACCCGAAACCGACAAAGGUAGGUAAGUAGAGAAUACCUAGGGGCGCGAGACAACUCUCUCUAAGGAACUCGGAAAAAUAGCCCUGUAACUUUGGGAGAAGGGGUGCCUCCUCAAAAGGUCGUAGUGACCAGGCCCGAGUGACUGUUUACCAAAAACAAAGGUCUUCGCAAACUCGUAAGACCAUGUAUGGGGGCUGACGCCUGUCCAGUGCUGGAAGGUUAAGGAAGUUGGUGAUCUGAUGAUGGGGAAGCCAGCGACCGAAUUCCCGGUGAACGAUGGCUGUAACUGUAACAGUCCUAAGGUAGCGAAAUUCCCUGUCGGUUAAGUUCUGACCCGCACGAAAGGCGUAACGAUCUGGGCACUGUCUCGGAGAGAGACUUGGUGAAAUAGACAUGUCUGUGAAGAUGCAGACUAUCUGCACCUGGACAGAAAGACCGUAUGAAGCUUUACUGUUCCCUGGGAUUGUCUUUGGGCUCUUCUUGGGCAUCUUAGGUGGAAGGCGAAGAAGGCUCCCUCUCCGGGGGGCCUCAGCCACCAGUGAGAUACCACUCCGGAAGAGCUAGAAUUCUAACCUUAUGUCAGGACCUACGAGCCAAGGGACAGUCUCAGGUAGACAAUUUCUAUGGGGUGUGGGCCUCCCAAAAGGUAACGGAGGCGUGCAAAGGUUUCCUCGAGCCGAACGGAAAUCAUCCCUCGAGUGCAAAGGAAGAAGGGAGCUUGACUGAAAGACCCACCCGUUGAGAAGGGACGAAAUUCGAACUUAGUGAUCCAAUGGUGCCAAGUGGAAGGGUCGUCGCUCAAUGAAUAAAAGUUACUCUAGGGAUAACAGGUUGAUCUUCCCCAAGAUUUCACAUCGACAGGAAGGUUUGGCACCUCGAUGUCAGCUCUUCGCCACCUGGGGCGGUAGUAAGUUCCAAGGGUUGGGCUGUUCACCCAUUAAAGUGGUA